AUAUUAAGUUGUUGCGGUUAAAAGCUCCUAGUUGGAGUUCUGCCAGGUGCCCUCUGUCCGCCCCAGUGGUGAGUACGUGACGCGCAUUUGGCCCUUUCAAGGGGAGCGUAUCUGCACUUUACUGUGUGGUGCGGGAUCCUUGACUUUUACUUUGAGGAAAUAGGAGUGUUCCAAGCAGGCUCUCGUCGUGCACAGCUCAGCAUGGAAUAAUAGCAUUGGACCUCGAUUCUAAGCUGUUGGUUGCCAGAAGCGAGGUAAUGAUGAAGAGGGAAAGUUGGGGGCUCGAAG
rnacentral:rRNA from 1 species